UUUGUAUGCAAGAGGAACUGGUGUCCUUGUAACAAGCAUAUAUAUAUAUAUGAAUCUGCGAACUUUCAAACAUUUCACAAGCUCACUACAUUGAACAUAUAUGAAUGUGAUCUGGGUCAAAAUUUACAUAUAUUGCUGAGUUUUCUGCAGAACACUCCUAACCUCGAGAAAGUUAUAUUGCAGAACUGCGAGAUUUCAGAUCAUUCGAGAAACAGGAAAAGAACACCCAAGGCAAACAGGAACCAGAUUCAUUCCAAGAGCAGAAGUCUGAUAACUUCCAAGUCUGAGAUCUCGAAGAUAAUGAAGAUGACAUAUGAAGAUGACGGUAUCAGCGACCUUAUUGAACUUUUGUUGCGCAGUUGGAGAAAACUUGAGGACCAUACUAUCAUAAUCACCAAGAUUUGA
rnacentral:lncRNA from 2 species